rnacentral:rRNA from 1 species
GACGAACGCUGGCGGCGUGCUUAACACAUGCAAGUCGAACGGAAAGGCCCUGCGUUUGUGGGGUUCUCGAGUGGCGAACGGGUGAGUAACACGUGAGUAACCUGCCCUUGACUUUGGGAUAACUUCAGGAAACUGGGGCUAAUAUCGGAUAGGAUCUCCUGCUGCAUGGUGGGGGUUGGAAAGUUUCGGCGGUUGGGGAUGGACUCGCGGCUUAUCAGCUUGUUGGUGUGGUAGUGGCUUACCAAGGCUUUGACGGGUAGCCGGCCUGAGAGGGUGACCGGCCACAUUGGGACUGAGAUACGGCCCAGACUCCUACCGGCGGCAGCAGUGGGGAAUAUUGCACAAUGGGCGGAAGCCUGAUGCAGCAACGCCGCGUGCGGGAAGACGGCCUUCGGGUUGUAAACCGCUUUCGACGGUGACGAAGAGUGAGUGACGGUAAUGGGUAAAGAAGCAACGGCUAACUACGUG